ensembl:lncRNA
GAGGGGGUCAGGGAUUUUUAGCUGGAAGACUUUUUCUCCAAAAGAAAAAAAAAUAAUAAUAACGCUGACUUGUUGAAAAUGUCUUUUUCACUUUAAGAAGACGGGUUUCAAUAUAGCUUUAUUCAACGGCCUGAAAUAUUUUUGAUGUUUAAAAUGAAAUUUCUUUCCAGAUAUCCACUCUGAGUCAUCUUUCUCAUAUUCAGAGGUAAGAUAAUUAUAAAGUAAUUACAAUAAGGCCAGAGUAGAAAAGGUACUUUUCAAACUAACCUAGAGAUUCAGGCCAGACUUCAGCUGAAUAUUCUUUUCCUUUUCAGUUCACAUUUCUUUUGUCCUGAGAUAAAACAGAGAAAUAUUUCCAAAUCUUCCAAGUGCAGAAACAUUUCCUUGCCCAGUGCUAAUUGCUCAAUUGAAUUAUUGGUAGACAGAUCACAGCUACCUUCAAUUAAUCAGUUCCAUGCCUGCCUUUUUCCACAAUCUCUGACCCGUGGCUCACUCACAGCCGCUAUGCUUGUGCUGAUUUAAUUAGCCAUUUCAUUCGCAUGGGACAUGAAUGUUUCCUGCCUGCACAGACCCUCACUUCUCUUCAGCAUUUGAGUGUAUCUUCUAUUUCUUACUUAAAAUUCACCCCUUCCCAAACCACGUUUGCCUCUGACUCUGUGUUAACGGCUGCCACCAGGUGCUGGGGGUAGUUUGAUAAGGGAUAUAAAGGCAGCACAGCAUCCCCAGAGCUCUCUGCAGCAAGGAGGUGCCCUGGUGCUGCUCCUAGAGGUUAGUGCAGCCCCAGUGAGGCUGUGGGCUUCAGGUGUCUGUGGUUGUUCCAAAUGGCCCUUCCAUUCUCGUGAGCCAGGAAGGUGCUCUUAGGAGUCUCUGCAGACAUGAAAGCACAAUUCUCAUCUCCCAGUUUCCAUCCAAUUGCUGGGCCCAAGGCAUUUUAUUUUAAUGAAGAAUUUUGCGGGAAUUCCUAUGGGGACUUUUCACAUCCACAUUUCCUUAUAGAGCUGCUGCUGAAUCAUCUAGGAACUGAAACUUGCUUGGUUGGAGAGUAAUGUGUUUUCCUAAGUUAUCGACAUGCUGAAAUUGGACCUUGUCCAAAACAAACCUUCCACUCUGCCUUGAGUCUAAUCCCUGUCAUAUUGUGGAGGAUGAAUGUGACUCAUCUCCAGCCAGUAGAGCUGCGCGUAGGGCCUGGCGACACAUAGAGGAGAUGGAAAACAGAG